rnacentral:lncRNA from 1 species
AAGAAAAUGGGGGAAGUGCUAAAAUUGUGUGGGAAUUCAAGCUUAACAAUAAACAUCAAGACAUUUUUGGUAAAAAUGAAUCCACUGACAUCGGGGAGGAGCAAGAGAACAGCACGCUGACACUGGGUCAGAGGCUAAGACCGACAUUUCUGGGAACCACUCCCGGAAGGGCACAGAUGAGACACUUUCAGCCUCUCGUCAGCCAGCCUGGCCUGUAGCUGCUGCACGUUAUGAGUGUGUUCCUGGCAUGACUGCUUCUAACAUUUUUGCCCGAAUGAUGAAGGAGGAAGUUUACAUCUUGCUCCCUGGGGACAGGCAGAGAUAGUGUGUGCACUUCCAUCCUACAAGGACCAGAUCUGAACAGUCUGGAGAGAGGAGCUGUGGUGGCA